rnacentral:rRNA from 1 species
GACGAACCGAGCGAACGUUGUUCGGAAUCACUGGGCUUAAAGGGCGCGUAGGCGGGUGCUCAAGUCCGUGGUGAAAUCCUCCGGCUCAACCGGAGAACUGCCUCGGAUACUGGGCGUCUCGAGUGUGGUAGGGGUAUGCGGAACUAUCGGUGGAGCGGUGAAAUGCGCAGAUAUCGGGAGGAACACCUAUGGCGAAGGCAGCUCGCUGGGACGUUACUGACGCUGAGACGCGAAAGCGUGGGGAGCAAACAGG